rnacentral:rRNA from 1 species
CAAUAGCGUAUAUUAAAGUUGUUGCAGUUAAAAAGCUCGUAGUUGGAUUUCUGGUGGGAGCGAUCGGUCUGGCGCUUAGCGCGAGUACUUGCAUCGUCUCCGGCCAUCCUUGGGGAGAGUCUGUCUGGCAUUAGGUUGUCGGGCAGUGGAUCCUCAUCGUUUACUGUGAAAAAAUUAGAGUGUUCAAAGCAGGCUUAUGCCGUUGAAUAUAUUAGCAUGGAAUAAUAAGAUAGGACUUUGGUACUAUUUUGUUGGUUUGCGCACCAAAGUAAUGAUUAAUAGGGACAGUUGGGGGUAUUCGUAUUCCGUUGUCAGAGGUGAAAUUCUUGGAUUUACGGAAGACGAACUACUGCGAAAGCAUUUACCAAGGAUGUUUUCAUUAA